ensembl:lncRNA
CUUGCAGGGGAGCUGGAACAUGAUGAUCCUUGAGGCCUCUUCCCAUCUGUAAGAGAUUAUUCUUUUGCAUCAUUGUUUCAAAGCUUGCUGAGGACACAGAUGGACAAGUCUAGGCAAGUCCUAGUCAAAGUUAGCAAAAUCUUUUGUCUGAAGAUUUUCAGUCCAGGGACAAUGUGAGAGAAAUAAGCCACAGCUUAAAGGCUGGGAACCAGUCUUUUGUGUGGGCUUAUCUUGAGGGAGAUAGCCAUCUCAGGGGGUACUGCACAUGGCUCUUACCGAAGUACCCAGGAAUGCCACAUUGGCAAAAGAAGAAGGAUAAAAAGAGGACCAACAACCAUGAGGUUUCUGACAUCAGAUUCCUCACAGCGUGAUGCCUGCACGCUGAAGAAAAAGGUGUCUGACAUCAGAUGCUUCAUGAUGUGACACCUUGCAUGAUGACAGACUCUCCUGGGCCUGCUACCUAAGACCUGCCACUUCCUCUUGGACUUACCCUGUCCCUGUACCUUCUUGCUGCCUAAGGCCGACCUCUCUGCUGCUGCUCUCAUCCUGCGCUUUUGCCUUGGACCAUUGGAAUGGCAUGCAACAGGACCGCUGCUGGAUCUUGGUGUGGUUGGUGUUUUUUCUUCCUGAAGCAAACAACCUCAACCACUGUGAUGACCAAGAGAAAAAUAAAAUGAGAAGAAUUUGAAAAUGUUGUAGUGGAAAG